rnacentral:lncRNA from 1 species
GGCCACGGCGUCGCUGCCGGCCGUCCACGACAGUACGCAUGCCCGUGACUGGUGGCCCGAUUCCCCGGCGACCGAAACACCGAUUGAGUUGGCGCUACGGGUUGCUACGCUCCUACUGAGACUGCUGAAGGGCGACUCACCAGCGACAAGGUUGAGACGAGAUCGGUCCACGUCGGGGUUGCGGCACCGCGGCGAGACCCGCACCGGCAAGGGAACACCAUGGCCGAGGCCAUCCAUCCCUACAUGUCGCGCUUGAGGAAGAUCCACACAGGUCGAUCUUAAUUUCUCUCCCAGCAUUGGCGUUCCCAAACCCGGCCGCCUGGCAGACUCCGACCGAUGGCGAAGUUGAGGAACAGCGUGGGCGGUUUCACCCUGACCCCAUUGGCGUUGCUGGUUUGGUAGCGAUAGGAGGUGGUUCGGCGGCUUCGUUAAUCAGAGGAGUAGGCCGGCACCAGGUUAUAUGUACUGCUUAGGCAGGAUCUCAACCAUAUUCCGAAAAUCCCGAGGGCACGAAGAAAUUGCGGCUGCAGCAACGGACAUGGCCGAGCAUCCAGGAAAGAAGAACCUGACACCCUCAACCCCACCCGUCAGAGGUGCAAGACAUUGAGGCAUCCGUUGAUUACUCUGCCCGUGGGACCCACACGGCGGUGCCCCAAAUAGACCAGGCGACGUGAAUGAUGGGAUGGAGUCAUCAUCGGCUAGGGGAUUAAUAAAAUCGAAAAAGAUUAUGUCCACGUCUUGACUAGUGGCCAAACGGCCAUGGGUUUUCACGUAGAUUUUAGGCUUCAUUUUUUUGUUUUAUUUUCCUGUUGUCUUAUUUCUGUUUUCAACCUUACUUCAAAUCCAAAUCCAGAUUAUAAAUUCAAAUAUGAGUGCAACAAUACAAGAAAAUCACGCAUGAUGCAAAGUAUAUUUUAUUUUACUUCUGUUACUAUUCCAUUCUUUUAAGUAAAUGCGCCAAAACAUAUAGCUCACUACAAAUUAAAUCGCACCCUUCAAAGAUUAUUUUUUUUCAAGAGAAUAGAUCUUUAACCAUAUUCAAAAUUAAAUGUUUUAAUAUUUACUUAUAAAGGAAUGCCUAUGAAACAUUUAUUUAUUAAUUAUUCCAUUAAAAAAAUGAGCACUAUAAAAAAAUAAACUAUAUAUUAAUAGAAUUAUUAAUUGCCCAUAUUCAUAUAUAAUUCGGGUAUUACAAAUCCUACCCCCCUUAAAAAAAUCUCGUCCUCGAGAUUUGUAAGAAAAGGGAUAUAAAAGAAUUGGUUUGUGACUUUAGCCUUUACUUUCUAAUUCAUUCAAAAAUUUAGAGUCUCACAUUUUUUUAGUCCAUAGUGGGUGAUUAGGAGAGCACAGGUAUCCAGUUACUUAUUAUGUAGGAUAUAAGAUGUCUUCAAAGCAUGGGUAGGUUUGGGUAAGGAGUAGGGUAAGGAAAGACUCCAUCCAAGAUUGUGGCUCUUGAUUCUUUUGAAGAUCUGGCUUGAAUCUUAUCGUUCCUUGAUUUGAUGAGGUCGAUCAUCUUCGAUCUUCGUUCUUGAAGUUGAUAUCCGAAUUAGGGACAUGUAGUUAAGAUAAAGUAGUAGGUGGAGCAGCUAGUUUAUUAGGUGGCUAUGACUUAAAUGAGAUUAGUCAGAAUCUGGUUUGGAUGUUUUGCUUCUGAAUGGUUUGGAUAGGCUAUGUAACAUAUUAUGUAGGUCAAGUUAUUGGGUAUGGCCGAGUUAAUCCCAGCCACCAAUUUAGGCUUAAGUGAGUUAGGAGUAUGGCCUUAUCUUGUAUACCAGCAUUAAGUAACUUACUUUAGAUUAGAUCAUAACAGAUUAGAUAAAAUCUAGAUUAGAAUGGAUAUGACUAGAUUAGACUAGUUUAGGCUAGAUAGAUCUACGAGGGUAGGAUAUAUAUUAUUAGGAUGUGUUAGAAUCUUUCAAGAUUGGAUGGCUUAUAUGGUGUAGGUAGGUCAAAAGCUUUGUUAGGAUAGGAUAGAAUCUUUUCGAGAUAAGAUGAAUCUAUUAAGAUAAGAGAGAAUCUUUUAAGAUAAGGUGAAUUGGUUAGAAUGGGAUCUUUUAGGAUAAGAUAAAUCUCUUAAGCUAGAUGUAUUCCAAUGAGGAUAAUCUAGGUUGUCUAGUUAUUUUAUAAAUAUAUAUAUAUUUUUUAUGCCUAUGUGUAUAUGCAGAUGUAAUUGUGGACAUUACUCCACAACUCAUCACACUCAAUCAAAGAUCCAAAUCAGGCAAGUAUCAUAAGAACGAACAUUCAAGUGCAUAGAUAUAAAAAAAUAGUUUUGUCUUUAUUCCUAAGAGUAGGUCUCCUAUUCCUAAAGAUCACUUUAGGCACAUGAUUUCAAAGUGUGAAAUCCAAGUUUGUCUUUAUAAGAAAAAGGUAAGGAUAAUCAGAGUAAAGCGGAAAUAGAUGAGAAAAGAUCAAGAAGAGUUUAGAAAAGAUCAGAGUAGCAAAGGUAAGUAAGUAUUGGUUGUCCAGUUCUAUCUAGGUUUCGUCCUACAGUCAACAUUCCUCUGAUACCACUUCUGUCACACCCGGGUUUUAGGGGGUCCAAAGCCCGGGCGCGAACAUAAUCACCAGGUGUGCUGGGACCAAGUCUCACACAUAUGAUGAAUCAUGGCACAGGAUCGAAUGUCACAACUUUACUACAUAACAGGAGUUCUAUACAAAAAUAAAUAAAUAAUUACAUUAUAAGGAGACAACGGUCCAGCAACCCAAAGUUGACUGGGAGACGACGGUCUAGAUCUCUCACGAACUCAUCGCAACAUCCUCCUUGCGCCUCAUCCUGCGGUACCUGUUCUUGACCUGUGGGGGGUGUGAGACAGCAAGAGUGAGCUCACAUACGUUCAUCGCUCAACAAGUUGUGGGGAAUAAUGUGCAUGAACUCGCCAAAGGUGGGAGCUCACGUGAAGUGUAAGGCUUACCAAAGAGGAUGGUUGAAGCUGAGCAUUGCUUUUAAUGUUGGUCAAAAUUUUAUUAGCAAUUACUAAGUAUAAGUAAAUACCAACCCAAUUAAGUAGCAGAACAAAAGUAACAACCUCACCUGCGAUGCAAUGCAUAUGACAAAUUGAGUUUAAGUUCCAUAAUUUAAUCAUUAGAGAGUCCUGAGCUGCUCAUGACCGUGAGCUCGGCUAGUAUACCAGUUUUACACUCUGUAGAGGUUGUACCCUUUACCCACAAGUCAUGUUACCCGUCUGCCAAUGGAUCGCGACUUCCCAUACACCUCUACCGAGGAGGCGAUGCAGGGUAACACUACGAGGCCUUUACAAAGUUCCACUAGCUUCAGAAAACCCGCUACAGUUUAUAGGAAGCUCCAAUGCAGGGUUCUUGCCUGACCGCCAUCGCAGCAAAAUCAACCAAGGACCUCCCUACACUGACCACUCCCCUACUGCCCUUGCCCCUUUCGGGUAAGGUAGUCCUCCACUAGCUUUCCUAAUUAAUCAGCCAAGGGCGUCCAUAAACCCUUGUGGUGGCACGUGUUUCUCAAGUUAAGCUCUAUGUUCCAAUUAACAUUAAUGAUCUUGACAUGAACAGUAAAUAACAACGGAUAACAAAAGUAUAAUCAUGAAUAAUGUGUAUCUCAAUGCCCAAAACCACAUAUAGCACUAGCAAGUACUACCCAAAAAGUUCAGUGGUAAACAAGGCAUAAAGAUAGACAAACUAGGGUAACCUAUUAGGUCCCAUCAAAAUUAACCUAUGCAGAUCAUUAUGAUUAAUUAGAACAUGAGUGGGUAAAAGAAGUGAUUAAGGGCACAACUUGCCUGGGACUUGAGAUUUCAGGUACCAACUUGCUCUUCAAGUGACUCGUGACCUCGCUGCUAGUCGUAGCAAUACAGACAAACAUGGUAUAUGCAAAAUUAACAUUACACCAAACAUAAGAACAAACUGUAUAAUAAUAAUCUACACGUCACUACGAGAUCGUAGGAAGAAGAACCACUAAAUUCGGAGCUACGAUUAUUAAGUUAUGAAUUCCUGAAGUUAUUAAAUACGUAGUAUAGAAUAAAUCAAGUGGAUAAUUUUGAUCUAGGUUUCAUGACUAAACAGAGUUACUAGGUGAUAGAUAAUAUUAAAACAAAAUUAUUGCAACUGGAAUAAAUCAAUUUGGAGCUAAAAUGAAUUAAAUAUGAAUUUCACAAGUUUCCAGUAUUAAAAAUCACUUUCUAAAAUAAAUUUUGAAUUUCCUUAGGCUUCUGGACUGGGCACAUUAUUUCUUAAGAGACCAGGGGCUAACUUAAAAGAUUUACGCAGACUCAGAAAUCCCCGAGUUGGACGGCGGGUUAAUUACGAAAAUGAUCAGGGGCUCUUAUGUAAGAUAGCCGUAGCGAAGGGGUACGGGUAAACUACAACCGCCCGAUUAGAUUUCAGUGGCUGAGAUUAGAUCAACAUUAAAUCGAACAUGUUCGCAAUCGUACCCGUCUGGUCCCGAUCCAAGGGUCGGGAUUUAAUAUGCUCCGAUCGAACAUAUACCGCUGAUCUUCCGAUGGACGGUACAAAAUCAACGACCGUAAGGGGAUCUCUGCUUCUAAUUUCAUCCGUCCUCUUCCGAUGCAACGGAUGACCGUCAUCUCCUUCCUCCGGUACCCGGCCACGGCGUCGCUGCCGGUCGUCCACGACAGUACGCAUGCCCGUGACUGGAGGCCCGAUUCCCCGGCGACCGAAACACCGAUUGAGUUGGCGCUACGGGUUGCUACGCUCCUACUGAGACUGCUGAAGGGCGACUCACCAGCGACAAGGUUGAGACGAGAUCGGUCCACGUCGGGGUUGCGGCACCGCGGCGAGACCCGCACCGGCAAGGGAACACCAUGGCCGAGGCCAUCCAUCCCUACAUCUCGCGCUUGAGGAAGAUCCACACAGGUCGAUCUUAAUUUCUCUCCCAGCAUUGGCGUUCCCAAACCCGGCCGCCUGGCAGACUCCGACCGAUGGCGAAGUUGAGGAACAGCGUGGGCGGUUUCACCCUGACCCCAUUGGCGCUGCUGGUUUGGUAGCGAUAGGAGGUGGUUCGGCGGCUUCGUUAAUCAGAGGAGUAGGCCGACACCAGGUUAUAUGUACUGCUUAGGCAGGAUCUCAACCAUAUUCCGAAAAUCCCGAGGGCACGAAGAAAUUGCGGCUGCAGCAACGGACAUGGCCGAGCAUCCAGGAAAGAAGAACCUGACACCCUCAACCCCACCCGUCAGAGGGGCAAGACAUUG